GACGGGUGAGUAAUGCCUGGGAAAUUGCCCUGAUGUGGGGGAUAACCAUUGGAAACGAUGGCUAAUACCGCAUAAUAGCUUCGGCUCAAAGAGGGGGACCUUCGGGCCUCUCGCGUCAGGAUAUGCCCAGGUGGGAUUAGCUAGUUGGUGAGGUAAUGGCUCACCAAGGCGACGAUCCCUAGCUGGUCUGAGAGGAUGAUCAGCCACACUGGAACUGAGACACGGUCCAGACUCCUACGGGAGGCAGCAGUGGGGAAUAUUGCACAAUGGGCGCAAGCCUGAUGCAGCCAUGCCGCGUGUAUGAAGAAGGCCUUCGGGUUGUAAAGUACUUUCAGCAGUGAGGAAGGUGGUAGUGUUAAUAGCACUAUCAUUUGACGUUAGCUGCAGAAGAAGCACCGGCUAACUCCGUGCCAGCAGCCGCGGUAAUACGGAGGGUGCGAGCGUUAAUCGGAAUUACUGGGCGUAAAGCGCAUGCAGGUGGUUUGUUAAGUCAGAUGUGA
rnacentral:rRNA from 1 species